GUUUUAUCAGGAAAAAAUGUGUGGAAAAGCGUAGGGGAUGGGACAGCUCUUGCUGCAUUAAUGGCCUGCGCCACUUAUUUUGGGAGGGUUCAUUCCAAAGGGGUGGUCGGGUGAGCAAGAAAAUUCCAGCCGCCUUUGAAGCGUACAUAUCUACUGUACGUACGGCUUAGUUCAUGAUCAAAUGUGGUACUACAGGCCAUCUCGGAAUGUCGGCAUCCUCAUUAAGCCAGCAUAAUAAUAUACGUACCUCCCUCUCUUUACUGGCUACAAUGUGCUAACUCGUGGACUUAUAAGAGAGGUUGGCGCCAUGGCAAUGAAGAAUAAUCGGCAAAUUGACACUUUAAUUUUCAUUGCGUUUGAGGAGGAAAGGACUUUCAUCAAUGAUUACACGGAAUAAUUGGAAUAAGUGUGGUGGCACAUUCGUUAAGAGUCAAAUGCUCCGACGGUGGUUGCUUUGCGUGCCAAAAAUUACACUCAACCGCGUGGAUGUUAAUUCGAGACUAGAAAGCGCCCCAGACACCACGAGGUUCUUCAGCAUCUAUAUUUUCCACCGGAGAAAAUAUAGAACUCAACUGUUCACCAGCCAUCGGUGCUAUAUAUUUUCCACCACAUGAAACGAUCCGUGUCCCCUACUCGUGUGGAUUCGAAAGGGAGAAAAACAAAUUUGAGUGCACUAAAGCACACGAAA